UGCCCGUGCUCUUCAGUGGAGAAGCAAAAAAGGGCUUGAGAGCCGCCGAGCAUCUUGGGAUGGGGAGCCGUGCCCGGGGCGGGGGAGUCUGCUAGGGUGUGAGGGGCGAGUGCCCCAGACGCUCGGCCCUGCCCGGUGGACUGGCCAGUACGCUGCGCUCUCCUGCUGGGUGUGGACGGGGGCGGGGUUGACAGUGAUUCUGCCCCAGCUCUUGUGUGUGAACCACAGAGCUCCUGAGAAUCGGAACACAGACCCCCGAGUCCUGAACCCAGGAGAGACUGCGGCCGCCGGCUCGGCCUCCGCGCCCACAGACACAGCCCCUCCACCAGGCCGCCGCCGGCGUUGGAAGUUAGGCCACACCUGACACCCAGGUGCCUCCCUGAACAGGUGCUGGCUCCCCUCCCUCCAAGCUUGUACUGGGCGGCCCGCUCCCUGCACGCAGGCCCCAGAGCCCGUUUUCCUGGAGCCACUGUGUGUCUGGGAAGGGAACUGCAGGGAGUGUAGUUACGGCUCUGGGUGGACACCCAAGCGAGCGCACACCUGGAGGGCUGCGGGUUCCGCCAGCGGGGACACAGCUCUGUGCACCUGUGGGUUGUCCCGCCCCUCUUGCCCUCCUCUCUCGCUGCUGGGGGCUCUGCCUACGCCCUGCAGCUUGAUUGGCAGCCCCUGUAUUCUGCCACUCAGGCCUCAUUCAAACAGGCAGAGCAGGACACUGGAACAGCACAGGGCACUGGUAAGGUUGAGGGUCAAGUUCAAGAAGCCUGAACUGGUGCUGUCGUCACAAAUGGCCUAUAGGGGGAGUCUUUGGGUUCAGUGACAGAAAUAUGAAGUACGAAGAUUCAGGUUCAGGGAAUGUAAAACAAUAGUGAAUUUUUAAAAAUAAUAACUUGGAGAGAAAGUGAGCUCCCUUUGCUGGUUCACUCCCCCAGAUGCCUACCACAAGCAGGGCUGGGCCAGGCUGAAGCUGGAAGGCAGGUGCCCGAUCCAGUCUCCCAGUGGGUGGCAGGGACUCAGCUACUGCGGCCUUGCCCUGCUGCCUCCCAAGGUGCACAACCACGCUUGACCCGCAGGACGUGGGCUUCCCAGCCAGCACCCCGCCUGCUAGGCCAGAUCCUCGCCCGGUGACUAUCUUACACCGAACUUUUUGUCCCUAAUUGCAGGAGAGUAAGACUCCAUUUAAUAUUGCAAGCUGUGGUGUAGGGGGAACAUUGAUGGGAUUACCAUGUUGUAGAUUCUGUUUGUCAACUUUUUUUUUUUUUUGACAGGCAGAGUGGACAGUGAGAGAGAGAGACAGAGAGAAAGGUCUUCCUUUGCCGUUAGUUCACCCUCCAAUGGCCGCCGCGGCCGGCGCACUGCGCUGAUCCGAUGGCAGGAGCCAGGUACUUCUCCUGGUCUCCCAUGGCGUGCAGGCCCCAAGCACCUGGGCCAUCCUCCACUGCACUCCCUGACCACAGCAGAGAGCUGGCCUGGAAGAGGGGCAACCAGGACAGAAUCCGGCGCCCCGACCGGGACUAGAACCUGGUGUGCAGGCACCGCAAGUGGAGGAUUAGCCUAAUGAGCCGCGGCGCCGGCCUACUUGAUAAGUUUUGACAUUGCAAAUACCAAUGAUGCCAACACCUAGAGCAAGACAAUGAACACGCCUGUCUCCCCCCUACCCCUUGUCAUCACCUUCAUCUUGUGUGUCUGCACACAAGUAAAACCUCACACACACAACUCUGUGUGACCUUGUGACAGCACUGUUACUCUUUCAUUUUAGUUUGACUUGCUUAUUAGAGAAGCAGAGAGAGAGAUCUUUCCAUCUGCUGGUCACUCCCAAGAUGGUUGAAGCCAGGAGCCAGGAGCUUCUUCCAGGCCUCCCACCUGGGUGCAGGGGCCCAAGCACUGGGGCCAUCUUCUGCUUUCCCAGGCCACAGCAGGGAGCUGGAUGGGAAGUGGAGCAGCCGGGACUGGGACCGGCGCCCACAUGGGAUGUCAGAGUCACGGGCGGCAGCUUAACCUGCUGCGCCACAGCAGCCCCAGCACUGCGAGUCUAGUGGGGAAAAUUCCAAACUGGGUUUAAGAACAGUUCUAACAGUGAGAGGUCAGAGUUCAGAAAGCUGAUCAGAAGACUAGAAAGCAGGAGCGCUGCGUGCUUGAAUCCAGGCCUGGUGAAGCGGAGAGCGUGCUGAGGGGACGAGGCCCGGCCGCAGAGACUUGUUUGGGGUUGAACACGCAGGUGCCCCUGAAGGCUGCGUCAGUUUCUCCCGAUGAGCGGGCGCAGGCUUGGCCGGCUCUAAGUCGGGGAGAGCAGGCCCACCCCUCCCCUGCUGCCCUGGCCUGGCUCCAGCUGCCCACGGCGGGAGUGGCAGGCGCGAGCAGCGGGCUGGACGCCCAGGGCAGCAGGUGGCUGAAGGGAUGGCUUCUCUAAGGAGGUGGGGCCUCUGCAGCAGCAGGCAGCCCGCCUCACUCACAGUCACUGCAGGUGUCCAUGGGGUGUGGUGUGAUGGCACACCUGUGAGCAUCCCCCCCGCAGAUCUCCACUGUCAACCACCAGGGGGAGCCCUGGCGACCUGGCCGAUAGAGCGGCUGUGGGAGGAGUGAGCCUUGGGCUGGGUGUGUAUGCCUGCAUUCCCCCAUGACGGCCACAGAGAAAGCAGCCUCCAGGGCCUGCACCCCCGGGGCUGGGCCCACUGCUUACAGACGGGAAAGGGAGGUCGGAAGCAUCGAGGGAUUUGCCUGACAUUACAGGGAGGGGGGCUGUGCCCCAACCGGCAGGCACCCCACCCCUUGCUGUUCGUGUGAACAGUGGGCCUAAAACAGGAUAUGUGUGCGCACUCACACCAGCACAUGUGUGCAGACGUGACUGGUAAGUGCAAGGGGGGUAGAUACAUAUGUUAGCUCCACUGCCGCACUCUCAGUGCACACGUACAAACGCAUAUGCAUGUGUGUGCCUGGGGUGCGUGCACCUGAGAUGCAGAAAUGCUCAUGCCUCCCAUGGCACAACAUGUGUAUGUACACAGUGCACACAUUCACAUGUAGAAGUUCCACCACAUACACAUGCGUGUGUGCACACAUGCAACCUGCCUACAUGUGUAUGUGCACACUGCAAACAUGCAUGGGUACACACUGUCAUUGCAUUGAUUUGCUGCUGUGUGCAGACAUGAGGUUAGUUACAAUGUACCACUGGAAAGGGAGUUAACAUGGAAGCAGUUGUCCUCUCUGUCUGCAAGGGCAGAGAUGUGCCUCCACUGUCCUGGUGAGCUCCAGUCCCUUCACCGGUACUCGUCUUUGAACGUAAGCCUGCUGCCCACCCUUCAGGCUGUUUACUAGCCAGAAAGGACAUGUGCAGAGGUGGCCAGGCUUGGCUGCACACCAGCUGCACGGUGGGGUCGCACAAAGUCUCCAGCCAGAGGGGCAGGUCCUCAGUCUGCAUGGCUCCCCUGGUGUGGAGAGAGCGAAAGCAGGCGAUGACAGUGGCUGAAAUACCCCCCAACCCAUGGAUUAACCCUUUCGUCUUUACCACAACUGUAGGUCAUUGUUGUCUCUGCCCUUGUGUUACAAAUAAGAUCUCUGUGCAGCACAGAUGAUAAGAAACUCGUCUUAGGACAAAGGAGGUCAACACUUCAGCCAGGCUCCACCCUUGCCAGGCUGUCCUGGGCGCUGGCUUCUCCCUCUGAUGUGCCGCAGGUUUGGACUUGCACGCCAGUGUCAGGAAACAGCCCUGUGUGUGACAACCGGGGUCUGCAUGGCUGCACCUGGCUGAUGCGACAGCCGAGACGGGGUGGUUCCUGCUGUGCCAAGCAGAGACACAGAGCACAUCCAGGCUGUGACUCUGUGCCCGGGCCCCCAGCUCUGCAGCCAGCGGCCACAGCUGUGGUGGCCUUGCCCCAGGUGUGUGUGGCCCUCUUGCCAGUGUGCAUCCUCUGUCUGCAAGAACCUUGAAUUCCACCCUUGCCCAGUUCACACAGGAGCUGCUGCUCUGCUCUGACCCCUGCACUUGUCCCUGAGCGCCCCCUCCCAGGCAGGGCCUGGCUGACAACCCACGGCCCGACGUCCACUGGUGACGAGUGUGGGCUGCAGCUUUCGGCACCAUCCUCAACUCAUGCACGCAUUUGCCCCCUCAUUUCCUGCACUCCUCUCCACCUGGCUUGGAUCUGAGCAUCUGUGAACAUGUGUGCACACUUGUGCACACCCACACACCCGCUCAGCUCCUCUGGCCUGCCAGACUGGAGCCUGUUCCUGAUGGGCUGUGUGUUUCCUCCCGUCCCGGUGCCUGUGUUUGAGCCAGUGAGGAUCUCUGUUCACAGUUCCAUUUCUCAGGGCAUUGAAGACAGCCUGGUGCCUUUGAGGUCUCCUGAGCCGAGUGCCCUGCACCCUCGCCCAUCUCAGUGGCCUCUGAGCUGUGGGUACUCCAUGGGGCAAGUCUGGCAGUCCCGAGGCUGCUUUGCCGACCAUCUGCACCCUGGAACUGUCCAGGGCUGCCAUGGUGCCAGGUGCCAAGGCCCAGAUGGGGACCCAGUGCCAGUCUGGUAUGACGGCGGAGACUGGGGGCCCAGGGCUACGUCUUGCAUGUGCUGAGCUGUGUCCCUGUGGUCCCCUCUCCCCCCAGCCCCACUGAGCAGCGAAUGCCCAUGCUUCCCUAUGCCAGCACAAAAGUAACACCACAGUGUCACGUGGACACCAUCGAGCCAUGUUGGCCACUGCAGAGAAGCCACCAGCACCAGUGGGGAGUGCUCCCCCGUCUCAGCUCGCGGGGACACUAAGGGGCUGGGAAAGCCUCCAUCCUCGCCCGGAAGUCGGGGUCCGAGCGAGGCCCAGGUCCGGAGGGUUUGGAGAGUUGGCACACCCAGUUCACUUACACUGCUCAGGUGCAAAGGAGAUGAGAGAGGGAGAGACAGGAAGGGGUGAAGAGGAGGGACAGAAAGGGAGGUGAGUGUGCUGCCGCCCCUGCCCAAACAGCCUGUGGGGUUUGCCGACCCUUGCAGGCAUCGAGGGUGGCCCCGCUCCACGUGUGGGGACCUCACCUUCCCCGGAAGUGCCGCCCUCACUCGGAGAUGCUCUGCCCGAGCUCCCCGGAGGCACUGGGUUGGCUGCAGACGUGCUCCGUGGCCUGGGGGUGGCCCAGUGCGCCAGGGCCCGGGAGGUGUGGCCUGCACAGGACGAGGGCCUGUGUUCGCUGAGGCCCCUGAGGGCAACGCCGGCUUGAGGCAGGGGCGGGGGUGCCACAGAGCCCACCCCGUGGUGAGGCUUCAGCGGCCGCCCCAGAUGCCUGGUCCCAUCCCGCGCAGGCAGUGAGGCGAGGCCGGGCCACCUGGGCGCUGGGAGGCAGAGCGGGGACAGCCCCAGACCGCUCCGGACUGCGGGGCCUCCGGAGCGCUUCCGGAUGGGGUGCCACUGCCUGCUGGGCCAGGGAAGAGGCAGAAGUCCACGCCACACUUCGCCUACUCCAGUGCCUUGCCAGGCCUGGUCACGCCGCGCCCCGCCUGCACCCCCAGCGCCUGACCCGCACCCCUGGUGCACCAUGCUGCCCAAGCCCGCACUGCCCGCACCCCCACCCUGGCGCUGCCUACACCCGCACUGUGAGGAGCACACCUGCUCUGGGGAGGAGCAGAGCACAUGGUCGGUGACCCGUGGUCCUUUGCGUGGAAGCGAAGGCCGCGGGGGUGGGGGUCGUGACCAGGGCCGCUGAGUACGCACAGGUCUGUGAGCCAUGGAGCAGCAGCCGGGGUCCCCUGCACGCUCAUGUCUCGUCUCAGGUUUGUCCCAGCUGACUUCUUGUUUUGGGUGUAUUUCGCAUGCUGGGGACCUGGCUGGCUUGUUCUUAGGUGUCACUUCCCCACUCUCUCAGAGGACUCUAACAUGGUCCCUCUGUCCGGAGCCUUGCGGAAGGCUCUGGAAGCCAGUUCCCAUGAAAGGGAGGCAGGUCUCGAGCGCUGGGUGGGAAGUGGGAGCUGCUACUUAGGAGACGGGAAUACCCCCUGCCCACAAGGGGCCCGAUGACUUUCAGAGAGGGUUUUAGGCAGCCUGUUGAAUGCAAUUUAAAUUAUUCACAGCUAGAAAACUUACACAAACUUUUAUUUUAAAUGCUUAGAAAUGCUAGUGGUAUUUUAAAAACUGAAGUUCCUAAAAUGGCUGAAAACAAACACGAGGUGGGCUGGGAAAUUCAUGUGGUGGGGAGGGGAGUUUGGGGAAGGGAAAGUGCCGACCCCACUGGACCUGCCCAGCACGCAGGGAGGGGUCAGGGAGGACCCUGGGUAGGAAGGUGGGGUAGAGUGCCCAGAUGAAAGGGGACCUUUUAUAGAGAGACACCGAGAAGUGCGGCAGCCAGGUAUCACCCGACAGGCUCUACGGAGCCACAGCAGUCCUAGUCUGCUCAGGUUCUGUCAGACUGAGAUGAGGAGCUGCAUACGGAAGCCCGGUGCACGUGGGCCACGUGCCUGUCCUCAAGGUGCUAAUGAUAAAAAGGGGGAUCCGAAGGAAUCAGCCCAGGAGAGGGGCAGCGUCCCUUAGUGGCCCAGGACACCUUUGCGCGUGCCAGACCUAAGUCAUUGCCAACCAGGUCACAUCCCUUGGCGACUGGGCAAGUCCCAGAGCAUCCAGCUGCCAUCCAGGUCCUGGGCUAAAUGAAAUCCACGAGCUUCAAUGCGCUGGGGAGAGGCAGCGGCAGUGGCUUCCGUCUGGCCGGAGGGGCUGCUGUCCGCCGCCCCCUUGUCUGUUCCCACCAAGAAGUGAAGCCCCUGGAUAGCAGAGGCCCGGUGCCUCUCCUUGAAGAACGGCUCCACGUGGGGCGAGAUCCUCGGACGAGUGCAGCCACGGGACGCGGGGGCAGACUUAAAUGCAGGUGUUCUCAGUCCGGGUCGUGGAACGUUUUCCUGGUGCUCUCGGCUGACGGGGUUUUUGUGAUCCUGAAUGGGCUUGCCCCUUCCGUGAACCCGGCGGGUCGUUUCUGUGCUGUGUAGCCUCGGGCGUAGGUGAAAUGAUUCACUGGCUGCGAUGCUUUUGUACUUUGCCAAGUAGGAAGAACCACGCGCACGCCUCCAGGGGCACGUGGACCAGAUAAGGAGGAAGGCCGGUGCUGCCCUUCUGAGCAGCCACUGCCGCUGUCCAGAUUCGGCUUCCAUUUGUAGCUUGCACGGAUCAGUGCUGAGCUGAGCUGGCCCACAGUCUCAAGUCUCACUCAACCCCAUGACGUCAGCACAGAGUAGCUGUGAGGUCAGCAGAGGCGGGGCUAUGAUGUCAGCACAGAGGAGCUGUGAGGGCAGCAGAGGCGGGGCUAUGACAUCACAGAGGAGCUGUGAGGUCAGCAGAGGUGGGGCUAUGACAUCACAGAGGAGCUGUGAGGUCAGCAGAGGCGGGGCUAUGAUGUCAGCACAGAGGUGGAGCCAUGAGGGCAGCAGAGGCGGGGCUAUGACAUCAUCGCAGAGGAGCUGUGAGGGUGACAGAGGCGGGGCUAUGACGUCAGCACAGAGGAGCUGUGAGGUCAGCAGAGGCAGGGUUAUGACAUCAUCGCAGAGGAGCUGUGAGGGUGACAGAGGCGGGGCUAUGACGUCAGCACAGAGGAGCUGUGAGGUCAGCAGAGGUGGGGCCGCACAGUCAGUCGUGCCAAGGAGGAAUUUUAGAUGCCCUGGAAACAAAGUGUAGCCUCAGUUUCUGAGUGCCUGAGUGUACCAUCCACCUGAGUCGCUGUUGUGGCUAUCAGGAAAACUGACCACUGGGUCCAAAUGGGUUCCUGUCCCUGCCCCCAUGGACUCGCUGUCUGUGCGUGGACCUGUAGGCUCCCCCAGGGAUGCCAUUCCCUGAAGGGUGACACUCAGGUGAGCCCGAGGAGGCCAGCCCUGCUGACACCCAAACCAGCGGGCAAUGUGCCAGCGCGUGAGAGAGGACACGCACCCGUCGGAGGGGUUAGCUCUACUGGAGGUGGAGUUAGGAUCUAGAUCCCAACCGUAAAGUGAGCGCUGGUAGUCAGUGCCUCGGACAGUUUCAGUGGAGAAGCACAUAAAGCAAGAACGGCCGCUGUUGAGAAGGAAUUCAACGUCAGAACAUUCUCUGAGACACACGUGCUCAGGAACACACACGUGGAGACACAUUUUGGUAGAAGCUCCGAUAUCCACAGGUGAGAGGGGAGGUCUCACUGGUCCUAGGGAUAGGCGACACCCUCGCCCCACCCUUACUGUUGGGGUACGUCUGAGAAACGGCUCUUUCAGUCACCACACAGACACCCUGGAGCCACGCACACAAGGUGGGCGGAGAGGACCGGUCACUCAUCGCAGCUUGUGGUGCCUGGAGAUGCAGGAAGCCAAGUGUGUGGGCACUGGAGAGCCGAGGCAGCAUCUCCUGGGUACAGCAAACACCUCAGCCGGCACCUCACUGGCUGAGCAUCUUGGCCAGGAAUACCAGUGUGCCUAAUGGCAGGUGCUGUUCGUUCAUAUGACGGGCAGCUGGCAGGUCUGCCCACACUGGCGUCAUGCACACACAUGCGUGCCACAUUGCUCUGUGCUUCUGCGCCGGCGUCAUGCACACACAUGUGUGCUUCAUCACUCUGUGCUUCCACACCGGCAUCAUGCACACACAUGCGUGCCGCAUCGCUCUGUGCUUCCGCACCGGCGUCAUGCACACACAUGUGUGCUUCAUCACUCUGUGCUUCCACACCAGCGUCAUGCACACACAUGCGUGCCGCAUUGCUCUGUGCUUCUGCGCCGACGUCAUGCACACACACACACGCUGCAUCGCUCUGUGCUUCCACACCAGCGUCACGCACACACACGCUGCAUCGCUCUGUGCUUCCGCACCAGCAUCACGCACACACAUGCAUGCCGCAUCGUUCUGUGCUUCCACACUGGCGUCACGCACACACAUGCGCCGCAUCGCUCUGUGCUUUGCGAUGGCUAUGACUGCGCUGCCCCGUAAGCCUUUUCCCCUCCCCACCAUUCUCACGGAGCCCUCGUGCACCUGCUGUUGCCAGCUGAAAUGGUGCACAGUGCACGGCUGUGGUAGGAAACAAAGCACAGUGGCAUUCGGGUUCUUCCCUGUGAGCAGCUGAGAACAGUCCUGAGGCACAAGCAUCCCCGCUAGAAUCUGGCUUGGCUUUGUCCCCACCCGUGGUCGAGGAGGAGGAGGAGGAGGCGCCAGCCUCCAGCUGGGAGCUCUGAGACUGUCCCGAGGUCACAACAUGUGCAAGUGCACAGUCCAGGAGGGUCCCCUGUGCUCUGAGGGCUAUGGAAGAUGGAACCAGAAGAUGAAUUCAGGGUUGCGGGUGUGACUGGCCGUGUAGACGCCUCACCCCACGUGGGAGCUGGUUCCUUUCCCAGCUCUGGCUCCUGACUCUGCGUCCUGCUGAUGCACUUUCUGGUAGGCAGACGAUGGCUGAUAUUGCUGGGUCCCUGCCACCCAUCUGGGGGACCUGGAUUGCUUUGCUGGCUCGUGGCUUCAGCCCUAGUCCAGCCCUGACCACUGUGGGCAUUUGGGGAGUGAACCAGCAGAUGGAAGCUCUCUGUUUGCCUCUUUCUCUGCCUCUCACAUUAAUUAGUUAACUAAUUAAUUUUAAAGACAAGUUUAUUUUGAUGGAAACAUUUUUGAAAUCCAUGCCGAUUUUCAUAAUAAACAUUUUCCACUGAUUUUUGUGGACCUCCUCAUAGUUUUCAAACCAUGCUUCCUACAACAGAAACACCACAGAGAAAAAUAAAUGUGAAAAAUGAGGGAAAUUGAUUAGACAGGACUCUUUAGUCCCAAGAAAUCGAAAGAUGCCUUACAUUAAUCAAGUGAGAUGAGUUUCUGUGGUGUCUAGCUCACAUGCGUAGGGUCCUUGUAAUCUAUCUUUCCACUGAUUUUUUGAAAUACCCUCGCAAUUGGGAAUCCCAAGACGUGAAUCUGUUAUGGGCAUGACAGGAGCCAUGAGCUGUGAAACUGUGCCAUUUAUUCACACUUAUUCCAGCCAAUGAGACCAUCUUCCCCAUAGCUGUGGAGGAGAAGUCUGGAGAAGACGUUGAUUGGCCCAGCCUAGGAUUCCUGCGUGUAACUGGACCAAUCACCAUGUAAAUGUAUUCAGAUUGACAGGGCUUUGCUCCUUCUGGGGCACAUCCACUGUGGCUCACCCAGAUAGUAGAAACUGAUGACCCAGGGCCAGUGGGGUAGCAGAAUUUCCUGUCCAGGCAUAAAGAUUCAGAGCUAGAGUUACGGUGCAGAUGCAGAGAAACGGGUGACAGGCACCAGUACUUAGGGAACCCCGCUCUGUGUUCCGGCCCAUUAAGUUGGCCAGCCUUCAUCUCAGCUCCAGAGCGGGGCAGUGCUGGGCCACCAACUGGUUGUGCUGUUGGCUCCACUGUGCGGUGUCCUUGAGUGGCCAAGUCCAGUUUGGGGACGCGCGUUCACGUAGAAGCUAAGCAGUGCUCAGCAGGCGCCAGGCUGCUUCCAGAGGGUUGCACAAGUGACUUCGCUUUGAGGAAGCCGUGCAUGAGGGCUCAUUUAGAGGGAGGGGGCAGCAAAGCCUGGGGUUGCCAUGCUGCUGGCCGCAUCUUCAAAGGCUCACCCCAAACCCACACUGUUCUCCAUGCCUUUCCUCUGCACCUUUGCACGCGUGUGUGCACGCAGUCGUGUGCACCAGAUCAGGCGCCAGCACCUUGUCCUGGUUCCCGCGCUGCCUCGUGUGCCUGUCACCGCCAGCCUUUGACCCAAUAUCCUGCCACCUGCCAGAGCCAUGUCUUGGAAGAUCCAGCUCCGUGGUCACCUGCCUGUCUCCCCUGCUUAGAACGAAUAGCCCCACUAGGUAUCCCUGGCGCAGGCUGGGCGGAACCCACCAGCCAGCUCUUAGCUGGACUGAGAUGCUCUGCGUGUGUUGGCGGGGUCCAGCCGGGUGUGCACACCCCAGGAGAACACCAGGAGUUUCCAGGUGGUCUGCCUCUCUAACAGAAGUGCUUGCAAACCUCCUGUGGCCAGCUUGGUCCCAGGCACCUCCCCACCAGGAAAGCCUUGGGCACACUUCCCUGAGGCACACAGCACCAAGGACAAAUGGGGACACUGGCCUGAGGCGGGAGGGUAAACAGCCCUGGUGUCAGAGCCGCAAAUCCUGCGGAGCCUCAGGUGGGUUUUCCAGGUUUUCUUUCUCACCAAAUGGACAAAAGACCUUGUCAGGUUACAGAUCAGUAACCAUAACUUGGGGGCAGACCCAUGAAGUUGCUGUUGGCCUGGAGCAGAGGGUGAAUUUGAAAACCUGAGCAGGAGGUUGCAGCCGUAACAGAGCCCCUCUUGCCCUCUGCUCACUGGUGUUUUUCCCAUGUUGUAUCUUCCGAGAGUGAACGGCAUGAAUUGGGUUUGUGCCAAGCCCGCCUCAUUCUAGCAAUAACAAGUAAUAUAGUCAUUUGGAAGGGAUUAGUUGGGAAAAAAACCAAUUAGCUCAUUAUAGAAUACAUUUCCUAUGACAUUUUACCACUUUGUUUAGCAACUGUCUAAAUUUCUAGAAUAUUUAUGUGGUUUUUGCUAGCUGCUAAUUACUGCAAUGACAGUUAAGUAUACAUAAAAGUAAUUUAAUGCUACAACCUAU